rnacentral:rRNA from 1 species
UACGUAGGGUGCAAGCGUUGUCCGGAAUUAUUGGGCGUAAAGCGUGCGCAGGCGGUAAUGUAAGACAGAUGUGAAAUCCCCGGGCUUAACCUGGGACCUGCAUUUGUGACUGCAUUGCUGGAGUGCGGCAGAGGGGGAUGGAAUUCCGCGUGUAGCAGUGAAAUGCGUAGAUAUGCGGAGGAACACCGAUGGCGAAGGCAAUCCCCUGGGCCUGCACUGACGCUCAUGCACGAAAGCGUGGGGAGCAAACAGG